rnacentral:snoRNA from 1 species
CAGCCAGUGAUGACGUGGCCACCGCACAAUCUGAGUUCUGGGAACCAUGUGAUGGAAUGUGUUCUGGGAAUAGAUUGCAGCCA